rnacentral:lncRNA from 1 species
GCUGAAUUAGAUAUGCUGUAUUUUCAUCUUCAUCAGUUCGGUGUAUUUCAUUUCUCUUGACACUUCCUCUUUGAUCUGUGGAUUGUCUGGAAGUGUGCUGUUUAGUUCUGAUUGUUUGGUGAUUUCUGUUAUUGAUACCUAGUUUGAUUCCCCUGUGGUCAGAGAACACACUGUUUGAUUUCACUGCUUUUUAAUUUGUUGAGCGUGUUUUCUGGUUCAUGAUGCUAUCUAUCCUGGUCUAUGUCUCAUGGACAUUGAAAAGCAUGUAUGCUGUGCCUUUGGGUGGAGAGUUCUGUGAGGGUUGGUUAGAUCCUGUUGGUUGAUGGUUGGUUGAUGGCUGUUGCGUUCCUCUUUACUUGUCAUCUAUAUCCACAAAUUGGCUGAGACCUUUCACUGGGGACCACACCUCCUGCCUCUCCUCUCCAUGCAGCCACCUCCCUGGACCCCAGAGACUGUUUCCUCCCUCACCCUUCCAGACCUAAGGAGUCCACAGCUGUCUGAUCUUCCCAGCACCAGGACACUGGGAUCUCUAACCCUGUCCCCAGAGUUGUAACUUUCCUCAGUGACCCCGUUUUCUGUGCCAUCUGUUUCCUGCUGUGGCCUCAUCAUGUGAUCUGUAGCCCGGAGGGCUACUGCCCUUACCCAGCACCCCUAAGGGGGAGAUUCCCACCAAAAAUGAGCUCACAGAGUGAAACAGGUUUGGGCUGGAAUAAAAGGCAUAACUGAGGCUUCCAUUUCCACUUAGAAUGCAGAGAGCUGCAAAGAACAUCACUCCCGAGCUAACAGUGAUAAAAGUCGAUAAUCCUCAAAAGCGUCAGAGAGAUGAGUCACGAGGAACAAAGUAAACUGAAUUCCAAAAAGGAACCAGCCCCUGCAAGGAGAGAGAAGUCGCACGAACUGUUUCAUCUUUGACAGGGCAGAGAAGAAAGAGGGGCCACCAGAUAAAUGGAUAAGAAAGACUCAGCUAAAUUUUAAUUCUUAAAAGGUUGAUGAAACGACACUGGGGGAGAGGUGGGGUCCCACACAUAUAGGGGAGUUUGCAGUCACUUGCAAGUUCUCUGCCUUGGCCACCACCAACUGCUGACAAGAAAGAUGGGAAACAGGACAUCAGAGAGAGUCCUCUGUGUGACGUGGGUGUGCAUGACGUGAUUAGCGGCUCCUGGGGGCAGCUGCAAGCCCCACAUGCAUCCUGGACUCUUUUGGUAGAGGCAGAGGGGGACGCACCAAACCCUCGUGCCCCUGGGGCAUAAGCAAAGGUCCAGUGGUUCUCGGGGAGGGUUAAGAGCUUGGAGAGGGACCCCCUCUGUGGGGCAGACAUGCAGGGACUGCUAAACACUGAGAGGAACACAGGAACCCUGAGAAGAACCCUCCGCUGCAGCCCACAGCUGGAGGAAUUGGAAGUCUGUGGUGCUAAGAUAACCAUCGCAACCACAAACCCAAACCAGCUGUGCUCCUGACCAGAUGCACCAGUGCCCCACACUAAGCCCUGCAGAAGAUGAGCUGCACGGACUUCCUGGCCCAGGGGGUUCUGGCUGCUUGUGCUACCCAUUACCAAGAAAGCAGCAUAGAGGUCUCCAGCUGUAAUUAUGGAUUUAUUUCAACAUUCACUUCUUUCACGGUUUUCUUCGUGUCUUUUGAAGCUCUGUUGUUACGACAUACACAUUUAGGAUGGUGAUGUCUCCUUGAUGGCUUGACCCCUUCAUCUUUAGGGGUUAUCAUUUGGCCUCCUGAACCAGUUCCUAGAGAUAGCAGUCUGAAUUCCUACCCAUCUGCCUGGCUACUAUGGAUAAUAGGUUGGUUUCCUGGGCUGGUUGCCGCAGCUUGUGCAUCAAAGUUCUAUUUGAUACAUGUCCUGGCCAUUGUCCAUUGGUGUAUUCAGUCUUUCAUCAUCCGUCAUCAAGUUCACCUCGUGGUCCCAAUAUGGCUGCUGCAAAUCCAGCCAGGAUGACUACGUUCCAGGCAGAAAGAAGGAAACGAAGAAAUGAAGCGGAGGCUGAGACACCACUGCGUUCGGGAGACCGUGUUCUGAAAUCCAAGGAAAUGGGUCCUUUGCACACUUGAGACCGAGUGGGCUUUCAAGAUGGGCCCCUUGGCAGCCUGGGGAGCAGGAGGAGCCUUGCUGGGAACGCUGUCACGGGAGGAAGGGGCAAGGACAGGGGCUGCAAGCCUUCUCGGCAGCUCUCUGGGACCAGCGGCAUUUCACCCGCAAUCGCAGUUCUAGGAAACGAGGGCGACCAUUGUGUGCAUUUCCUUCCCCAGUGAAGGGUCCAGACGCUGCAAACAUGCACGUAGGCCCACACACGUACGUGCACACACACACGCACAUACAUGCACGCUCACACCGCAUGCACACACAAACCCUCCACUUGCCUUUCCUUCCCUGGGGCUUUCAAUUUUCUCAGCUGCUAGGAGUGGGGGAGAAGCUGCUUUCCAUUUUUGCUCCGUGGAAUUUGCUCCACACUUUCCUUGCCCACAGCCCCAUCUGCACGGCCUGCCUCCCCAAAAAUGAGGUGCCACUCCCUGCCUGACCUGAGGAACACACAGGAUCCUCCUGCCACCACGUCUUUCUGCAGAAAACUCUUUUUAAAAAUUCCUCCAUCAGAAAGUCACCUUACCAUUAAGGAAGUGUCCAUCAUUAAAAUGCAAAAUGGGAGGAAGGAAGGUGCUUGGAGCGGUGACUCCCAAUCCUCAAAGAAAAAAUGGAAAGUGCCUCUACUCCCUUCUGGGAGACCAGAAAAAGGAAGACCCGGGGAGGAGGGGAAGUUUUGCCCGCUCCUGCUUUGAUUGCAUUGUCGGGAGCAAGAAUAGUUGGAAGGAAGAAUAGGAAAUUAUUGAAUCGGUGGCUUUUUAAUGGUAAAAAGAAAAAAAGCGGAUGCCUCCUUGACAGUUUAAUGGGAAUUUGUCCUCUGAUCUCGGCUGACUGCAACUGACAAGAAAGGGUUUCGAUUCCGGAGGGAGAGCCCCUAUCGCUGUGCAAGCUGGAAAGGGCCAGAAACUGCUUUUCUUCACACGCCCUUGAGGAGAAUCUCUAGGAUGCUCAGGGGGGUGAGAAGGGGCCCCGCGGCCGUGAUGAGGAGGUGCUUGAAUAGAAGGUGAAAAUGGGCUCCCACGGCCCGGGACAUAGGCCACCCAUGGGGCAGCAAUUUCCCCUGGACCAGCAGGGCCUCUGAGCUUUGCCUCUGAUGCCACAUAGUCAGGUGCAAAUUUGGGAUCUAUUUUUGCUUAAGCUCCUGGGCCUCAGCUGCCCUGCUUUAAAAGACCUCUGUCUGGUCGUGAGGAUUAAACAAGAGUGGAUCACCAGUGGCCAAUGAUGUAAUCAAGCAGGCCCAGGGAACCGAGCCUCCAUAAAAAUCCCUGGGCAAACAGGUUCAGAGAGCUGCCGGUUGGUGAACGCGUCCACCCCAGUUCCACGGGGACAGGAGCUCCUGGGCUCGGGGCCCUUCCGGACGUCGCCCUGGGUACCACUUCAGCUCUAUCCUUUAUGAUAAACUGGAAGCAGCAGGGACGAGCGCCAGUCCCGGCCCAUGUCCAGGGCAGCCUCCUCGUGGCCCCAACUCCCCGUCACGACAGCCCUAAGACUGGAUGGGAACAGAAGCCCCCCCAGCCCCCAGUGCCUCAUGGGCUGAGAUGGCUGCUGGAGCACCAGCCAUCAUGACUGCAUGCCAGGAAGGAAGACAGGACACAUUGCCUCUCAUGUUUGGAAACCAUGGUCCUCUGGCUGGGCAGCUAAAAUCAGAAUUUCAUCACUGAGGAGAAACAUUCAUUUUACUACAUGCUACUGUGCAUUCAUCUCACUAACUAACGCUAUUUUUCUUUAACAAUAAAUUCCCAUCUUCAUUUUAUCAGGAUCUUGCAACCUGAGCCAUUUGUUCUCUCCCCCCCUCCCCCCAUGGAGAUUAUGCCGGAGAAACAAUCAUCAAGUGUGUUUGUCCACAUCCCACACACUCCCACGCACUCCCCAACAGCCCCACCCUGCCUGCCUCAGCUCAGAGUCCAGGGCAGACUUUAGCCGAAGCGUAAGAAACUGCCGUGGUCCUCACUGUGUGGAGGGGGCGCUCCUGGCAGGAGAGGCUGGUCGACGCCGAGUCUGGCCACACUCGACCGUCUCAUCUUCACAGCCUUUCAGGAGGGCUGUCGUCCCUCCCCAUCUCGGUGUAAACUCAGGCUCAGCACCAUCAAGUGAGCCCUCCUUGCCAGCAAGGGCUGGUUAUCCCCCUGCGGUUUUCCUUCCAUCAUCAAUGUCCUUUGUUUUAUCAGACGGUGACACAGAAAGAGGAGAAAUAGAUUGUAUAACCUGCAGAACAGUGGAGUGGGGAAAAGGGGAGCGUGGGGGUAGAAAACUCCAUCACUGAAAAGGAAAGGGGGUGGGGAGAAGGCUCAGCACAGAGGGGGUGGCAGACAGAGAGCACCGACGAGAUGGGCGCCCCAGUGCCGGUGUCCCGGUAAUUGCCUGUCACAGAAAUA